GACGAACGCUGGCGGCGUGCCUAAUACAUGCAAGUUGAGCGCUGAAGGUUGGUACUUGUACCAACUGGAUGAGCAGCGAACGGGUGAGUAACGCGUGGGGAAUCUGCCUUUGAGCGGGGGACAACAUUUGGAAACGAAUGCUAAUACCGCAUAAAAACUUUAAACACAAGUUUUAAGUUUGAAAGAUGCAAUUGCAUCACUCAAAGAUGAUCCCGCGUUGUAUUAGCUAGUUGGUGAGGUAAAGGCUCACCAAGGCGAUGAUACAUAGCCGACCUGAGAGGGUGGUCGACCACAAUGGGACUGAGACACGGCCCAAACUCCUACGGGAGGCAGCAGUAGGGAAUCUUCGGAAAUGGACGAAAGUCUGACCGAGCAACGCCGCGUGAGUGAAGAAGGUUUUCGGAUCGUAAAACUCUGUUGGUAGAGAAGAACGUUGGUGAGAGUGGAAAGCUCAUCAAGUGACGGUAACUACCCAGAAAGGGACGGCUAACUACGUG
rnacentral:rRNA from 1 species